rnacentral:rRNA from 1 species
GAGAGUUUGAUCCUGGCUCAGGAUGAACGCUAGCUACAGGCUUAACACAUGCAAGUCGAGGGGCAGCAUGGUCUUAGCUUGCUAAGGCCGAUGGCGACCGGCGCACGGGUGAGUAACGCGUAUCCAACCUGCCUUACACUCUUGGACCGCCUUCUGAAAGGGAGAUUAAUACAAGAUGUUAUCAUGAGUAAGCAUUUUCGCAUGAUUAAAGGUUUACCGGUGUAAGAUGGGGAUGCGUUCCAUUAGAUAGUAGGCGGGGUAACGGCCCACCUAGUCUUCGAUGGAUAGGGGUUCUGAGAGGAAGGUCCCCCACAUUGGAACUGAGACACGGUCCAAACUCCUACGGGAGGCAGCAGUGAGGAAUAUUGGUCAAUGGACGAGAGUCUGAACCAGCCAAGUAGCGUGAAGGAUGAAGGUUCUAUGGAUUGUAAACUUCUUUUAUACGGGAAUAAACGAAUCCACGCGUGGAUUUUUGCAUGUACCGUAUGAAUAAGGAUCGGCUAACUCCGUGCCAGCAGCCGCGGUAAUACGGAGGAUCCGAGCGUUAUCCGGAUUUAUUGGGUUUAAAGGGAGCGUAGAUGGGUUGUUAAGUCAGUUGUGAAAGUUUGCGGCUCAACCGUAAAAUUGCAAUUGAUACUGGCAGUCUUGAGUACAGUUGAGGUAGGCGGAAUUCGUGGUGUAGCGGUGAAAUGCUUAGAUAUCACGAAGAACUCCGAUUGCGAAGGCAGCUUACUAACCUGUAACUGACAUUGAUGCUCGAAAGUGUGGGUAUCAAACAGGAUUAGAUACCCUGGUAGUCCACACGGUAAACGAUGAAUACUCGCUGUAGGCGAUAUACAGUCUGCGGCCAAGCGAAAGCAUUAAGUAUUCCACCUGGGGAGUACGCCGGCAACGGUGAAACUCAAAGGAAUUGACGGGGGCCCGCACAAGCGGAGGAACAUGUGGUUUAAUUCGAUGAUACGCGAGGAACCUUACCCGGGCUUAAAUUGCAACCGAAUAUGGCGGAAACGCUAUAGCUAGCAAUAGCGGUUGUGAAGGUGCUGCAUGGUUGUCGUCAGCUCGUGCCGUGAGGUGUCGGCUUAAGUGCCAUAACGAGCGCAACCCUUGCCGAUAGUUACUAACAGGUCAUGCUGAGGACUCUGUCGGGACUGCCAUCGUAAGAUGUGAGGAAGGUGGGGAUGACGUCAAAUCAGCACGGCCCUUACGUCCGGGGCUACACACGUGUUACAAUGGGGGGUACAGAGGGCUGCUACCACGCAAGUGGAUGCCAAUCCCAAAAACCUCUCUCAGUUCGGAUUGAAGUCUGCAACCCGACUUCAUGAAGCUGGAUUCGCUAGUAAUCGCGCAUCAGCCACGGCGCGGUGAAUACGUUCCCGGGCCUUGUACACACCGCCCGUCAAGCCAUGGGAGCCGGGGGUACCUGAAGUGCGUAACCGCAAGGAGCGCCCUAGGGUAAAACUGGUGACUGGGGCUAAGUCGUAACAAGGUAGCCG